UGGGGAAUUUUGGACAAUGGGCGAAAGCCUGAUCCAGCAAUGCCGCGUGUGUGAAGAAGGCCUUCGGGUUGUAAAGCACUUUUGUCCGGAAAGAAAUCCUUGGCUCUAAUACAGUCGGGGGAUGACGGUACCGGAAGAAUAAGCACCGGCUAACUACGUGCCAGCAGCCGCGGUAAUACGUAGGGUGCAAGCGUUAAUCGGAAUUACUGGGCGUAAAGCGUGCGCAGGCGGUUUGCUAAGACCGAUGUGAAAUCCCCGGGCUCAACCUGGGAACUGCAUUGGUGACUGGCAGGCUAGAGUAUGGCAGGAGGGGGGUAGAAUUCCACGUGUAGCGGUGAAAUGCGUAGAGAUGUGGAGGAAUACCGAUGGCGAAGGCAGCCCCCUGGGCCAAUACUGACGCUCAUGCACGAAAGCGUGGGGAGCAAACAGGAUUAGAUACCCUGGUAGUCCACGCCCUAAACGAUGUCAACUAGUUGUUGGGGAUUCAUUUCCUUAGUAACGUAGCUAACGCGUGAAGUUGACCGCCU
rnacentral:rRNA from 1 species